UCCCUGUAGUGCAAUGAAUAACACAUUGGAUUUCUAAUCCAAAGGUCAUGGAUUUUGAAUCCCUCUUGGGAU